rnacentral:rRNA from 1 species
AUUGAACGCUGGCGGCAUGCCUUACACAUGCAAGUCGAACGGUAACAGGUCUUCGGAUGCUGACGAGUGGCGAACGGGUGAGUAAUACAUCGGAACGUGCCUAGUAGUGGGGGGUAACUACUCGAAAGAGUGGCUAAUACCGCAUGAGAUCUACGGAUGAAAGCAGGGGAUCGCAAGACCUUGUGCUACUAGAGCGGCCGAUGGCGGAUUAGGUAGUUGGUGGGAUAAAAGCUUACCAAGCCGACGAUCUGUAGCUGGUCUGAGAGGACGAUCAGCCACACUGGGACUGAGACACGGCCCAGACUCCUACGGGAGGCAGCAGUGGGGAAUUUUGGACAAUGGGCGCAAGCCUGAUCCAGCAAUGCCGCGUGCAGGAUGAAGGCCUUCGGGUUGUAAACUGCUUUUGUACGGAACGAAAAGCCCUGGGUUAAUACCCUGGGGUCAUGACGGUACUGUAAGAAUAAGCACCGGCUAACUACGUGCCAGCAGCCGCCGUAAGAC